rnacentral:rRNA from 2 species
CCUGAUGACCAUAGCAAGUUGGUCCCACGCCUUCCCAUCCCGAACAGGACCGUGAAACGACUUUGCGCCGAUGAUAGUGCGGACUCCCGUGUGAAAGCAGGUCAUCGUCAGGC